UUUGCUCAGAGAUGAAGGAAAGUCUCUGAAAAUUAUCCAAUAAACAUCCUUGACCUACUCACUUCCCAUAUUAUAAAAAACACACGACCUUUCCAUCACCAAAGCCCUCACAAUAUUACUUUGGAACCACCCCUCCCUUGUAACAUCCCUCCCAACCUCACAACACCCCAAUAGAUCCUUCCACCAUUGUGAGCCAUUAUGAUUGACCUCACCAUGUAUGAAGCUAUCAAGAUCUAGAAUGCCAUAUUUUGCUAUCGGCACUUCCUCCACAGACCCUCAUGCUCACUCAACAAUCUCCAAAUCCACUUCCUCAAGAGAGUCCUAUUGAAAAUAUAUAUACAAAUUUUAAUUUUAGCCUAAGCCCUCCUUUACUUUUUGGUGAACACACAAUGUCUACUUGACCCAAGAAACUUUCUUCUCCUCAUCCUUAGCACACCCCAAGAAGUUCCUUUGUAUCCUAUUAAGGAUAUUCAAGACCUUCGAUGAGAUCUUGAAAAAAGAAAUAAAAUAAAGAGAAAGAAAUGAUAGGACUGAUUUUACAAGACUCACCCUCCC
rnacentral:lncRNA from 1 species